rnacentral:misc_RNA from 1 species
GAUGAAGAACGUAGCAAAAUGCGAUAAGUAGUGUGAAUUGCAGAAUUCAGUGAAUCAUCGAAUCUUUGAACGCACAUUGCGCCCCUUGGUAUCCCGAGGGGCAUGCCUGUUCGAGCGUCAUUUCACCACUCAAGCCUGGCUUGGUGUUGGGCGACGUCCCCUUUAGGGACGCGCCUCGAAACGCUCGGCGGCGUGGCACCGGCUUUAAGCGUAGCAGAAUCUUUCGCUUUGGAAGUCGGGGCCCCGCCUGCCGGAAUACCUACUCGUAAGGUUGACCUCGGAUCAGGCAGGGAUACCCGCUGAACUUAAGCAUAUCAAUAAGCGGAGGA